UACGAAGGGGGCUAGCGUUGCUCGGAAUCACUGGGCGUAAAGCGCACGUAGGCGGCUUUUUAAGUCAGGGGUGAAAUCCUGGAGCUCAACUCCAGAACUGCCUUUGAUACUGAGAGCUUGAGUCCGGGAGAGGUGAGUGGAACUGCGAGUGUAGAGGUGAAAUUCGUAGAUAUUCGCAAGAACACCAGUGGCGAAGGCGGCUCACUGGCCCGGUACUGACGCUGGAGGUGCGAAAGCGUGGGGAGCAAACAGG
rnacentral:rRNA from 1 species